rnacentral:rRNA from 1 species
CACGUAGGCGGCUUUCUAAGUCAGAGGUGAAAUCCCGGGGCUCAACCCCGGAACUGCCUUUGAUACUGGAGAGCUUGAGUUCGGGAGAGGUGAGUGGAACUGCGAGUGUAGAGGUGAAAUUCGUAGAUAUUCGCAAGAACACCAGUGGCGAAGGCGGCUCACUGGCCCGAUACUGACGCUGAGGUGCGAAAGCGUGGGAGCAAACA